rnacentral:rRNA from 1 species
ACAGUGGACGCGAGCAUCUUUGUUGUAAGUGUUUAGAGCGUACGGUGGAUGCCUUGGCACCAGGAGCCGAUGAAGGACGUAGGAGGCUGCGAUAAGCCUCGGGGAGCUGUCAACCGAGCUGAGAUCGAGGAUGUCCGAAUGGGGAACCCAGCCACAGUGAUGUGUGGUUACCCGCGCCUGAAUAUAGGGCGUGGGGAGGGAACGUGGGGAAGUGAAACAUCUCAGUACCCACAGGAAGAAAAACAACAUGUGAUUCCGUGAGUAGUGGCGAGCGAAAGCGGAAGAGGCUAAACCAUGGGUGUGUGAUAGCCGGCGGGCGUUGCAUUCGUGGGUUUGUGGGAUCCGUCUUGUCAAUUCUGCCGAUUGGCCGACAGUGAGAAUCAUCGUGUUAGUCGAAGUGGUCUGGAACGGCCUGUCGUAGAGGGUGAGAGUCCCGUAGACGAAAACAUGGUGACUGUCGUGACGGACACCCGAGUAGCAGCGGGCCCGUGAAAUCUGCUGUGAAUCUGUCGGGACCACCCGAUAAGCCUGAAUACUCCCUGGUGACCGAUAGCGGACUAGUACCGUGAGGGAAAGGUGAAAAGUACCCCGGAGGGGAGUGAAAUAGUACCUGAAACCGUGCGCUUACAAUCCGUCAGAGCCUGCGCCACUUUUGGUGGGUGGGUGAUGGCGUGCCUUGUGAAGAAUGAGCCUGCGAGUUAGCGGCAUGUCGCGAGGUUAACCCGUGUGGGGUAGCCGUAGCGAAAGCG